rnacentral:rRNA from 1 species
CAGUAGCCGCGGUAAUACGUAGGUGGCAAGCGUUGUCCGGAAUUAUUGGGCGUAAAGGGCUCGCAGGCGGUUUCUUAAGUCUGAUGUGAAAGCCCCCGGCUCAACCGGGGAGGGUCAUUGGAAACUGGGAAACUUGGGUGCAGAAGAGGAGAGUGGAAUUCCACGUGUAGCGGUGAAACGCGUAGAGAUGUGGAGGAACACCAGUGGCGAAGGCGACUCUCUGGUCUGUAACUGACGCUGAGGAGCGAAAGCGUGGGGAGCGAACAGGAUUAGAUACCCCAGUAGUCCCUGUCUCUUAUAC